CUGGAAUCGCUAGUAAUCGCGGAUCAGAAUGCCGCGGUGAAUACGUUCCCGGGUCUUGUACACACCGCCCGUCACACCAUGGGAGUCGGAAAUGCCCGAAGUCUGUGACCCAACCGCGAGGAGGGAGCAGCCGAAGGCAGGUCGGAUGACUGGGGUGAAGUCGUAACAAGGUACC
rnacentral:rRNA from 1 species